CAGCCGUAAACUAUGCUCGCUAGGUGUCAGGGACGGUGCGACCGUUUCUGGUGCCGCAGGGAAGCCGUGAAGCGAGCCACCUGGGAAGUACGGUCGCAAGGCUGAAACUUAAAGGAAUUGGCGGGGGAGCACUACAACGGGUGGAGCCUGCGGUUUAAUUGGAUUCAACGCCGGAAAUCUUACCGGAUAAGACAGCUGAAUGAUAGUCGGGAUGAAGACUCUACUUGACUAGCUGAGAGGAGGUGCAUGGCGUAGUCGUGU
rnacentral:rRNA from 1 species